CCUACGGGAGGCAGCAGUGGGGAAUAUUGGACAAUGGGCGAAAGCCUGAUCCAGCAACGCCGCGUGUGUGAAGAAGGCCUGCGGGUUGUAAAGCACUUUCGAUGGGAACGAAAUGUGCCGGGCUAAUACCCCGGCAAGCUGACGUUACUCAAUGAAGAAGCACCGGCUAACUCUGUGCCAGCAGCCGCGGUAAU
rnacentral:rRNA from 1 species